CCUACGGGAGGCAGCAGUGAGGAAUAUUGGUCAAUGGACGAGAGUCUGAACCAGCUAAGUAGCGUGAAGGAUGACUGCCCUAUGGGUUGUAAACUUCUUUUAUAAAGGAAUAAAACGAGGCACGUGUGCCUUUUUGCAUGUACUUUAUGAUUAAGGAUCGGCUAACUCCGUGCCAGCAGCCGCGGUAAUACGGAGGAUCCGAGCGUUAUCCGGAUUUAUUGGGUUUAAAGGGAGCCUAGAUGGGUUGUUAAGUCAGUUGUGAAAGUUUGCGGCUAAACCGUAAAAUUGCAAUUGAUACUGGCAGUCGUGAGUACAGUUGAGGUAGGCGGAAUUCGUGGUGUAGCGGUGAAAUGCUUAGAUAUCACGAAGAACCCCGAUUGCGAAGGCAGCUUACUAAACUGUGACUGACAUUGAUGCUCGAAAGUGUGGGUAUCAAACAGGAUUAGAUACCCGGGGAGUC
rnacentral:rRNA from 1 species